CCUGGCCGACCCCAGCACCCUAAGCUGGAAGAAUGGAGACGGGGUCCCCAGCAGCAGGGCUGAGAGCAGGCCCCUGUUCUCCAGAGCUGCGUCCCCCGAGCCCUCGGACCCCGGCGGGCAAGGGCACGGGCAGCCUCGGUUGCUGAAAGGACAGACAUAGUGUCUGCGCUAAGACUGCUCUCGUGGUUCCGCGAGGCCCUGUGGGGGCCUAGCCCGUGGCCUGAGUCUUAUCUGGGAUUGUCCCUCUCGCCCGUCACCCUAGCUCACACCAUUUUCCCAUUUUCUUCACUCUGAUUUGGGGGAAAGAAAGAUACUUUACAACAAGUGAAAAACAUAAACACUUUGAACUUCAUGCAACUGGAGCGUUACACCUGCAGGACGCAGCGCUGCUGGGGUGCCAAACCUCAGUGCUGGGCCCUCCUUCCUCCCGCGGGCUCUCCCUUGGCCGGCCGUGUGCCCGGAGAGAUGCGGUGUGCGGUGUGCGCGGAGAGAUGCGGUGUGAGCGGAGACAUGCGGUGUGCGCGGAGACACGCGGUGUGAGCGGAGACACGCGGUGUGAGCGGAGACACGCGGUGUGCACGGAGAGAUGUGAGGCUGGGCGGCAAGGCCUGGCUCUGCAGCCUGGAAGGACUGGCCCUCUCUGAAGCAGCAGCCCUGGCACGGCAGGGCUGGUGCAGAGGCAGCUGCCAGAGCACCGGGCCUGAGCCCAGUGUGGGCCCAGCUCAGCAGGAAGCGUCUUCAUAAACCACGCCGUUCUGCUGUGGAAGCUGGGAGCUGGGGGAAGCUGAGCGCCCUGCUCUCCGCUGCAGAGGGCCCUUCACCCCCGGGACGGCUCCCAGGGCCCUCAGGCUGGUUUAAUGCUGGGCCGGCGCCGUUCCGUGCUCUCCAGUCCAGUGUGGUUCGAGUGGGGUGCCAGUCAUGGCCGCUGAUGCCCUCAGCAGUGGUCACUCUCUCUCCCCAGAAAUCUCUGCAGCUACUGGCAACUACCGAGUUACAGACGAUUGUUCUGAGCGAUUUUUACAAAUUUAACCCAACACACGUAAACUCUAAUUUGCGUUCGGAAUUAUCCUUCAUCCACAUCUAAGGCCAGGUACAUUUACACUGUGUGACAUUAAAUGCCUUUUCUAGUGACUGGGAGGAACCAAGCCGAGAUGUUUGUAAAAACAAAAAGUGGGGGUGGGGGAGGCGGACUGCAACGUCCAAGCCAUUCUUUUCCUUGGGUGAGCCAGCUGCUCCCAAGCAGAAAGGCUGGCACCUGGUGACUGCCAACAUGCCCGAUGGACCAGGUCACCACGUGUGGCCAGUGCCAGGGUCCCAACUCCCUUCCUGGGUGCCCAGCCUGAGAUGGCCCAUGCCGUCCUGGAGAGAAGCAGAGAGGGCACUGUGCCCAUUCAUAGUGCCCAGGCCAGGCUGCUGACCCCGCUGGAGGAGUGGUGCCCUGGGCCAGUGCGUGGGGCCAGAUUCUGGUGUCUUAGCUGAGCGUGGGAAGCAGGCCCUACUCCCGAGUGGCAGUGGCUCUAAGGAAACAACCAAUGGGGUUACAGAAACAGGAACGGGCACCAAGCCAGGAAGUGCUGUUUGGGGUCCAGGGAACUCGGGCACCUAUUAGAGCAAUCCUGGUCCUGGACGAGAGACGGAGUUGUCCAAACCCUGGGCCAUAUAUGUCACAAUUGUUUUUGACCCCCAGUAGCUUUUGUACUCAUCAAAUGGUAACGUUGCCCCUUUCGUAUUGGGGUCAUUCAAGAGCUGCACUUACUCUGGGUUCCUGCUAACUAUGCACAACAUCUCAGAGGAUGGCACACUACUAUUUUUCUAACUACAACACAGGUGAUUGGGUGGGGGAGGCUGGGUUGUAUCUACAUGUGGCCAAUGGCUUAGCUUCUGCCUUGAGAGACGAAAGGGAAACUGUACGCUUGAAUUUUACUCCACCAUUGGCUAGCUUGUGCCAGAAGGAACACACAUCGAAGAUCCAAGAAGCAAAGCUGAUCACUCGCUUAAUUUGGGGACUCCCUGUAGGAGGAGUUACCUUGUCUAGAACACACACACCUGCGAGUAGACUGUGAGCUGGUUUCUUGGCAACCAGGUCUUACAAGCCCUUUAAAAUGUUCUGGACAGCACAACUCCUAGGUCCGUAUGGUUGAUGUAAGUAUAACGAAGUAGUGAAAUUGUAUGGUAUAUGUCUACAUGCCAAUAGUGUACACCUGUAUGUGGGAUUUGCUAAUGUAACCAUUUCAAUAAAAACCUAUUGAAAAAGCU